GACGAACGCUGGCGGCGUGCUUAACACAUGCAAGUCGAACGGAAAGGCCCUGCUUUUGUGGGGUGCUCGAGUGGCGAACGGGUGAGUAACACGUGAGUAACCUGCCCUUGACUUUGGGAUAACUUCAGGAAACUGGGGCUAAUACCGGAUAGGAGCUCCUGCUGCAUGGUGGGGGUUGGAAAGUUUCGGCGGUUGGGGAUGGACUCGCGGCUUAUCAGCUUGUUGGUGGGGUAGUGGCUUACCAAGGCUUUGACGGGUAGCCGGCCUGAGAGGGUGACCGGCCACAUUGGGACUGAGAUAGGGCCCAGAGUCCUACGGGAGGCAGAAGUGGGGAAUAUUGCACAAUGGGCGGACGCCUGAUGCAGCAACGCCGCGUGCGGGAUGACGGCCUUCGGGUUGUAAAACGCUUUCGCCUGUGACGAAGCGUGAGUGACGGUAAUGGGUAAAGAAGCACCGGCUAACUACGUG
rnacentral:rRNA from 1 species